rnacentral:rRNA from 1 species
CAUGCAAGUCGAACGGACCUAACCAUUAGUUUACUAUUGGAGCGGUUAGUGGCGGACUGGUGAGUAACACGUAAGCAACCUGCCUAUCAGAGGGGAACAACAGUUAGAAAUGACUGCUAAUACCGCAUAUGCCUUAGAAUCACAUGGUUCAAAAGGGAAAGGAGCAAUCCGCUGAUAGAUGGGCUUGCGUCUGAUUAGAUAGUUGGUGAGGUAACGGCCCACCAAGUCGACGAUCAGUAGCCGGACUGAGAGGUUGAACGGCCACAUUGGGACUGAGAUACGGCCCAGACUCCUACGGGAGGCAGCAGUCGGGAAUAUUGCGCAAUGGAGGAAACUCUGACGCAGUGACGCCGCGUGCAGGAAGAAGGUUUUCGGAUUGUAAACUGCUUUAGACAGGGAAGAUACAAGACAGUACCUGUAGAAUAAGCUCCGGCUAACUACGUGCCAGCAGCCGCGGUAAUACGUAGGGAGCAAGCGUUAUCCGGAUUUAUUGGGUGUAAAGGGUGCGUAGACGGGAAAACAAGUUAGUUGUGAAAUCCCUCGGCUUAACUGAGGAACUGCAACUAAAACUAUUUUUCUUGGGUGCUGGAGAGGAAA